GACGAACGCUGGCGGCGUGCCUAAUACAUACAAGUAGAACGCUGAAGGAGGAGCUUGCUUCUCUGGAUGAGUUGCGAACGGGUGAGUAACGCGUAGGUAACCUGCCUGGUAGCGGGGGAUAACUAUUGGAAACGAUAGCUAAUACCGCAUAAGAGUAGAUGUCGCAUGACAUUUGCUUAAAAGGUGCAAUUGCAUCACUACCAGAUGGACCUGCGUUGUAUUAGCUAGUUGGUGAGGUAACGGCUCACCAAGGCAACGAUACAUAGCCGACCUGAGAGGGUGAUCGGCCACACUGGGACUGAGACACGGCCCAGACUCCUACGGGAGGCAGCAGUAGGGAAUCUUCGGCAAUGGACGGAAGUCUGACCGAGCAACGCCGCGUGAGUGAAGAAGGUUUUCGGAUCGUAAAGCUCUGUUGUAAGAGAAGAACGAGUGUGAGAGUGGAAAGUUCACACUGUGACGGUAUCUUACCAGAAAGGGACGGCUAACUACGUG
rnacentral:rRNA from 1 species